GAAAAUUACAAGCAUAAGCUCAAAACUCAAAGGACUUGGCGGCGCUUUAGACCCACCUAGAGGAGCCUGUCCUAUAACCGAUAACCCCCGUUAAACCUUACCUUCUUUUGCACUCAGUCUAUAUACCGCCGUCGUCAGCUCACCCUUUGAGGGACCUAUUAGUAAGCAAGACUGGUUAAGCCCAAGACGUCAGGUCGAGGUGUAGCAUAUAAGAAGUGAAGAGAUGGGCUACAUUUCCUACACAGGGCCCACGGAAAAUAUUUUGAAAAAAACAUAUUGAAGAAGGAUUUAGCAGUAAGUAAAAAAUAGAGCGUUUUACUGAAACUGGCUCUGAAGCGCGCACACACCGCCCGUCAUUCUCCCCUCAUUCUAACCUCUCUAUUAUAUCAAAACUCAGUCUCCAUAAAGGGGGGACAAGUCGUAACAUGGUAAGUGUACUGGAAGGUGCACUUGGAUAAA
rnacentral:rRNA from 1 species